UUCUCCAGGUUAAACACCCUCAUCUCCUUCAGCUGCUCCUCAUAUGAUUUGUGCUCCAGAACCUUAAUAAGCUCCACUGUCUUUCUCUGGACUCACCCACUUGACUCCAGCACUUCAAUGUCUUCUAGUGAGGGGCUGAAAACUGAAUGCAGGAUUUGAUGUGUGGCCUCAUCAGUACAGGGAGACAAUCACUGCCCUGGUCCAGCUGCCACACUAUGUCUGAUACAGGCCAGGAUGCCAUUGGCCUUCUUGUUCAGGAGCUGUGGACUAGCAGCUCCAGCUCUUUUUUCUGCCAGGCAGCAUUCCAGUCACUCUUCCCUGACCCUGUGACAUUGCCUGGGAUUGUUGUGACCCAAGUGCAGGACUUGGCACUUGGCCUUGUUAUCCCUCAUACAAGCAGCCUUGGCCCAUAAGUCCGGCCUGUCCAGAUCCUUCUGCACAGCCUUCCUGUCCUCCAGCAGACCAACACUCCAACCCAGCUUGGUGUCAUCGGUGAACUUACUGAGGGAGCACUUGUUCCCCUUAUCCAGGUCAUCAAUAGUUACUGAGCCCCAGUACUGAGCUCCAGGAAAUACCACUGGCACGUGACAGCCAGCUGAAUUUGACUCCAUCUGCCACCAGCCAUCCAGCCAGUUUUUCACCCAAAGAACAGAGCACCUGUCCAAGACAUGAGCAGCCAGUUUCUCCAGGAGAAUUCUGUGGGAGACAGUGUCAAAGGCUUUAGCAAACUUAAGGCAGACAACAUCCACAGUCUUCCCCUCAUCCACUAAAUGGGUCGCUUUGUCAUAGAGGCAGAUCAGGUUGGUCCAGCAGGACCUGCCUUUGCCAAACCCAUGUUUGUGCUGGCUUGGCCUGAUCCCCUGGCUGGCCUGUACCUGCUGCAUGACAGCACUCAAGAUGAUCUGCUCCAUCACCUUCCCCAGCACUGAGGUGAGGCUGACAGGCCUCUAGUUACCCAGAUCCUCCUUCCAGACCUUCCUGUAGAUGGACAAUGUAUUUGCUGACUUCCAAACACCUGGGAUCUGCCUGUUAGCCAGGACUGCUGAUAAAUGAGGGAGACUGUCUCAGUCAGCAUUUCCACCAGCUCCCUAAGUAUCCAUGUAUGGAUCCCAUCUGGUCCCAUAGGCUCGCAUGUGUGUAAGUGGUUGUCCUAGGUUACAAUGUAAAGAUGUAUUCUAUUCCCAUCCUCAAGAGCUAUCAAAACCAGGAGGUUCAUUGUUUUUCCUCAUCUCCUGUUAAUGGGCCUGUCAAUGCCUUGCCACAUGACACAGAGAUAACUCCCUCUGAGAGCCAUUUCUGUUUAAUGGGCAAUCAAGGACCCACCAAAUGGCUCAGAAUGAUACCAGCCCACUGUGAGAUACUCCGCCCAGGGUGGGGAGCUAAACAUCCCCACCUGGAUAUAAUCUGGGCUUUGGGACAGAGCAGGUAGCCCUUACCCACUGGGUUCUAAAGGACAAGAGCUACCAGAAUUUUUGUCUAUGGGAUCACCACUUCAACAAGACCAUUUCAUCUGGACUGCUACCACCACCCUAACUAGCAGGGCGCCAGGUUGUCUUCUGACUCUCGUCACAGCCAAACCACUCUGUUCAAUCAGGCCAGUUUUCUUGCCUGCCAGCUUGUCUUUUGGCAUAUGGGGAUGAGCUCUCUGGUGCCUUAAGAUUUCUUUCUUGAAGAAUGUCCAGCCUUCCUGGACUCCAUAGCCCUUCAGGACUGCCUCCCAAGGGACUCCCUCAACCAUCUCCUAAAGAGGCCAAAGUCUGCACUCCAGAAGUCCGAGCAGCAGUUCUGCUGGCCUCCCUCCUUACUUCUCCAGGAAGGUACAAUUAAUUAAUUUGUUGUCGCCUGCAAACUGACUGAGGGUGGCUUCCUUUGCUUUGCUCCAGAUGGCCUCCAAUGGUUACAUCACCCUCGAGUCCUUCUCUGUUCAUGAACUUCAGGUCCAACAGGGCACCUUCCCCAGUUGGGACCUUCACAUGCUAUGUCAGAAUGUUAUGAACUCCCACACACUCAAGGAACCUCCUGGACCGUUUCCUCUCUGCUGUGUUGUAAUUCCAGGAGAUGUCUGCUGCCACAUGGAUCUCCAUCCCCUACCUCCACUGAGAUGGCAAACCAAAGGACAUCUCUGGAGCAUCUAGUGCACAGUCCCUCAAACAUCAGUGUGCCACCCUAGGCUUAUCUCUAGAGAGCCUGGUUUUAUUCCUUUAUAAGGGCUAAGCCUGUGGGAGAUAGUCACUUGCCCAAAUGGGAUCAGGUACCUGUGGUGUUACUCAAGUAUUAACUGCCUAUUAGUCACCUGUUAACAGAAAGGUCAAACCAGAACUGCAUGACCAGCCAGCACUCAGAGAAAUAAAGAGGGUGUGAGCCAAACAACACAAUUUGCAAAACUCUUCUGCUCUUUGAACACACGCAUGGAGAGAAACACUGCUCCUCAGUUCCCAUGCAUCUCUGGGGAAGGAUUCUGCAAGCACACACCAAACCUCAUAGCCCUGCAAAGCAAUGCCUCAGGGAAAGAGUCCUAAUUCAGCUUACUAUAAUGUAAUAGUUUAUUGUCACAAUUCAGAUCACAACAUUUAGAUUUGUGGCUCUCAGUAAUGUCUGCAACAGGUGCAAAACUGAACUGGGAGCAGGUAACAAAGAGAUCUCUAGGUGCACAU